UAAAGAUUCAUCGGCUGCGGAUGGCCAUGCGGCGCAUUAGCUAGUCGGCGGGGUAACGGCCCACCGAGGCGACGAUGCGUAGGGGUUCUGAGAGGAAGGUCCCCCACACUGGUACUGAGACACGGACCAGACUCCUACGGGAGGCAGCAGUGAGGAAUAUUGGUCAAUGGCCGGGAGGCUGAACCAGCCAAGUCGCGUGAGGGAAGACGGCCCUACGGGUUGUAAACCUCUUUUGUCAGGGAGCAAGAGGCGGGUCGAGACCUGCUGUGAGAGUACCUGAAGAAAAAGCAUCGGCUAACUCCGUGCCAGCAGCCGCGGUAAUACGGAGGAUGCGAGCGUUAUCCGGAUUUAUUGGGUUUAAAGGGUGCGCAGGCGGAGGCACAAGUCAGCGGUAAAAUCGCGGGGCUCAACCCCGCUCCGCCGUUGAAACUGUGUCCCUUGAGUGCGCGAAGGGUAGGCGGAAUGCGUGGUGUAGCGGUGAAAUGCAUAGAUAUCACGCAGAACUCCGAUCGCGAAGGCAGCCUACCGGCGCGCAACUGACGCUCAUGCACGAAAGCGUGGGUAUCGAACAGGAUUAGAUACCCUGGUAGUCCACGCAGUAAACGAUGAAUGCUAUCUGUCCGGCCGGAAUGACGGCUG
rnacentral:rRNA from 1 species